GUGAUAAAGUACCAGAUGAAAAUCCUGUGCUUGAGCAAGAGUCAAUGUCAGAAACUCAACUGGAAGUAAAGAAACAAAGACCUUCUAAAGAAAGAAGACUCAGUUCUCAUGAAAAAAUAUCAGAUGCAAAUCUUAUGCAUGACCAUCAAGAAUCAAUGUCAAAAAGCCAAAUGACGGUAAAGCAACAAAAAGAGGAAAAACACACUCAAGAUGAAGUACCAGAUGGAAAUCAUAUGCUUGACCAUCAAGAGUUAAUGUCAGAAUCAGAGAUUCAAGUGAAGAAAGAAAGCUUUCACACAGGGGAAAGAUUUACUAGUAAGUGCAAAAACUACAGAAAAAUUUAUAUUGUUUAAAAUUAAACUCAUUAGAUGUU
rnacentral:lncRNA from 1 species